rnacentral:SRP_RNA from 1 species
UUCUCGGUCUCUCGCAACAGUCUCUGGUUUACCUGGUCAGGUUCGGAAGAAAGCAGCCAAAGUCAGAUGUCCUGUGUGCCGAGAUAAGCUGGGAAGGU